AGUGAACGCUGGCGGCGUGCCUAAUACAUGCAAGUCGAACGGAGUGGCGCACGGGUGAGUAAGGUAUAGCUAAUCUGCCCUACACUAGAGGACAACAGUUGGAAACGACUGCUAAUACUCUAUAGUGUAGGAUGAGGCUAUAUUGUAUCAGCUAGUUGGUGAGGUAAUGGCUCACCAAGGCUAGGACGCAUAACUGGUCUGAGCGGAUGAUCAGUCAAACUGGAACGGAGAAACGGUCGAGACUCCUACGGGAAGCAGCAGUAGGGAAUAGUGCUCAAUGGGGGAAACCCUGAGGCAGCAACGCCGCGUGAAGGAUGACACUUUGCGGAGCGGAAACUCCUUUUGUUAGGGAAGCGGUACCUAACGAAUAAGCACCGGCUAACUCCGUGCCAGCAGCCGCGGUAAUUC
rnacentral:rRNA from 1 species